rnacentral:rRNA from 1 species
AGCGAACGCUGGCGGCAGGCCUAACACAUGCAAGUCGAACGAAGUCUUCGGACUUAGUGGCGGACGGGUGAGUAACACGUGGGAACGUACCUUUUGGUUCGGAACAACUCAGGGAAACUUGAGCUAAUACCGAAUGUGCCCUUAGGGGGAAAGAUUUAUCGCCAUUAGAGCGGCCCGCGUUAGAUUAGCUAGUUGGUGGGGUAAAGGCCCACCAAGGCUACGAUCUAUAGCUGGUCUGAGAGGAUGAUCAGCCACACUGGGACUGAGACACGGCCCAGACUCCUACGGGAGGCAGCAGUGGGGAAUCUUGCGCAAUGGGCGAAAGCCUGACGCAGCCAUGCCGCGUGAAUGAUGAAGGUCUUAGGAUUGUAAAAUUCUUUUACCAGGGACGAUAAUGACGGUACCUGGAGAAAAAGCCCCGGCUAACUUCGUGCCAGCCGCCGCCGUAAGAC